rnacentral:lncRNA from 1 species
GACGUCCCCAUCCAGCGGUACCUCAACGCCUACAACAACACUGACCCUAACGGCCCCUACUACGAGUUCUGGACUACUCCCCCGACCUGAGGGAUCAGGGCAUGGAUGACUCCAUUAAAGUCAUCUGCGGCUCUGGCAUAUGGUUGUUGUAUGAUGGUACUACUACGCUGCAGAGAAAGAAGUUCCUGCUUUAUUCAUCAAUGGCAACGGGUGCCACAACUAUGCGUAUUCCUAUUACUAUGAUAAGAUAUCUUCUCUGCGGUACGCGGGCAGUCCCGACGGUGUGGACGACGACUACUACAACCUCUACCAGGGAGGCGGCUUCACGAGCAAUGAAUUCAAAGGCAACACAAACGCCCCGGACGUCGCCUACUUGGAUAUGAAGGUGUCCUCCUUGAUUACAAGUGGAAAAUCGCCAUGGACUUUCUUCACGGGCCAGAACUACACCGGGGAGGCCGUGUGCGUGUAUCCUUGGGUCGACAGCGGCGUUAAUUACUUUACAGCUGCAUCAAUGUCAUACUACUUGGGCUUAGCGGACAACUCGAUCAGGUCGGUGGCCAUGGGCUGCCUUUCCGACAACAUCCAUGGUGGGCAUCCACUGACUGCAUGAAG